GCAGCCGCGGUAAUUCCAGCUCCAAUAGCGUAUAUUAAAGUUGUUGCAGUUAAAAAGCUCGUAGUUGAACUUCGGGAUUUACCCAUUGGUCAGGCUUAACUGUCUGUACUGGUGAGAUGAAUUCCUACCUUCUGAGGAAUCUUCAUGCCAUUUAGUUGGUGUGGGGGGGAAUCAGGACUGUUACUUUGAAAAAAUUAGAGUGUUUAAAGCAGGCUAACGUCUGAAUACAUUAGCAUGGAAUAAUGAAAUAGGACGGUUGGUUCUAUUUUGUUGGUUUCUAGGAUCACCGUAAUGAUUAAUAGGGAUAGUUGGG
rnacentral:rRNA from 1 species